CAUUUUUAAGUGCAGAUUUCUAAAAUGGUGAGUAGAAGGAGCUAAAGUGGGAGACAAGUGAAAUUAUCUUCAGUUGUGGAUGUGGAUUUUUAUCAGAAAAUCUUGGUGAAAGCUUCUGCUCUUGGAAGUUGGUCUCGAGAUGUUUAAUUUGUUUCCUACAAUUAUUAAGUUCCUUAAGAUUUUCCAAGCUAGAUUGAUUUCUUUCAUUUUUACUUUGAUGACUCCAGGGAUGCCAUAUGAAGAAGAACCCCAAUAAUGGUACUAUAUUUUUAAAAAUGAAAUUAAGUAAUGUAUGUGAAAGGGCAUGUCAGACUCUAAAAUCUAAACUGAAAAUUAUGCCUUGUUUUUCAGUCAUCCACCCUUUGUAGAGCCACCACUCUCUUUCAAGAUAUGCUAAGUGAGGGACUUUGCCUGUGUUAGUUCUCAUCCAUAUGCUCAAACUUGCAAAAUAGUAAUAAUAAUACUGUUUUUCAGAUGAGGAAACUGAGACUCAGAGAGGUUAAAACAACUUACCCCAGACUUAAUUGCAAUUUAUUUUAUAAUGAUUAAGGGAUAUUCUUUUUAUACACAUUGUAUGAAAAUGACUGCUAUUGGAUUACUUAUUUUUCACCACGUUUGCCAAAACACAUUUUCUUAAUAUGGUCAUUUCAAAAAGUACAGUGAAAUUCUCAAAUAGCUUAAAAAAUUAAUUUCCCAACUCCUUUCCAUUUUCUUUCUGCUUAAUCUAGCUGGACAAGUAGAAUCUUCAGACUCACCAGUUAUUCCUACUCUGUCCAACUGCUUGGCUAUCACUUAACACAAGCUCUUUCCGGGGCUCCAGCUGGAUUCCUUGCAGAAUUUGGGGCUUAUUUCUAUCUGGCAGCCUCGACCAUAAAACUGAGAAACACUUUUAUUCUUCUCUUAAUGAAUGGAAAAUUUCCUUUAUUUUUAAACUCAACAUAACUCCCAGAUAUCUACCAGGCUUUGUAAAUUUUUAACUUAGAUAAUACACAAUGCCCAGUAAGUACCUUGAAAUGUUAAGUAUCGGCCAGACUCGAUGAAAUAACUACAGACACAUCAUGAUGUUGCUCAUUUUUCUGUAAUGAUUGUGCCUCACAAGACCAAAGGGUAGUCUGACGUUGUGAACUGUCUUCAGGGCAGAACUGAUCUAUAGAAGGAGAAAAUCAAAUAUGAUAUGGUCAUAUUAGGGAUACUGGGGACAGUUGUGAGUGCUAUUCAGAAUUCUGAGAGCUAGUUACAUCUUUUAAAACCUAUGCCACAGAAGUAUAAUUUUCCUAUGUCUUUUAUAAACAUUGGAAAUACCAUAUGAUGGCUUUUAAUCCAUAGGAGGGCAAUGUUGAGCUUUAGGAAAAUCCUUCCAGAUUUUUUUUUCAAAAGAACGUAUAGAAC
rnacentral:lncRNA from 1 species